AUACGGAGGGUCCGAGCGUUGAUCGGAAUUACUGGGCGUAAAGCGCGCGUAGGCGGCUUAUUAAGUCAGAUGUGAAAUCCCCGGGCUCAACCUGGGAACUGCAUCUGAUACUGGUAAGCUAGAGUUUUGGAGAGGGAAGUAGAAUUUCAGGUGUAGCGGUGAAAUGCAUAGAGAUCUGAAGGAAUACCAGUGGCGAAGGCGACUUCCUGGCCAAAAACUGACGCUGAGGUGCGAAAGCGUGGGUAGCAAACGGGAUUAGAAACCCUAGUAGUCC
rnacentral:rRNA from 1 species